AAAUUUUUUUCAAACCAAAGAAUUCGGUUCGGUUUAAGAAUUACCUAAAAAUCAAACAAAACUGAACCGAUUACUCCCAUACAGAUAAGCUACACUAUAGACCGUCUCUAGCACAAGUGACAUAACAGCUUGAUGGUAGUAUCCGAGAUUUCAAAUUCGAAUUCUUACUAUUUUACUUUCCAACUAAUCUGAAAACAAAUAAAUGAAGUGGUAACAUGCGAUCAUUCUCUAAGUAAGCUAUGCUAAAAAAAACUUUUUUAAUUAAAUUAUUUGCAAAACUAACA
rnacentral:lncRNA from 1 species